AGUGAACGCUGGCGGUAGGCCUAACACAUGCAAGUCGAACGGCAGCACAGUAAGAGCUUGCUCUUACGGUUGGCGAGUUGCGGACGGGUGAGGAAUACAUCGGAAUCUACUUUUUCGUGGGGGAUAACGUAGGGAAACUUACGCUAAUACCGCAUACGACCUACGGGUGAAAGCAGGGGAUCUUCUUACCUUUCUCGUUUGAAUUAGCCGAUGUCGGAUUAGCUAGUUGGCGUGGUAAAGGCCCACCAAGGCGACGAUCCGUAGCUGGUCUGAGAGGAUGAUCAGCCACACUGGAACUGAGACACGGUCCAGACUCCUACGGGAGGCAGCAGUGGGGAAUAUUGGACAAUGGGCGCAAGCCUGAUCCGGCCAUACCGCGUGGGUGAAGAAGGCCUUCGGGUUGUAAAGCCCUUUUGUUGGGAAAGAAAAGCAGCAGGUUAAUACCCCGCUGUUCUGACGGUACCCAAAGAAUAAGCACCGGCUAACUUCGUG
rnacentral:rRNA from 1 species